rnacentral:rRNA from 1 species
GAUGAACGCUGGCGGCGUGCCUAAUACAUGCAAGUCGAGCGAACAGACGAGGAGCCUGCUCCUCUGACGUUAGCGGCGGACGGGUGAGUAACACGUGGAUAACCUACCUAUAAGACUGGGAUAACUUCGGGAAACCGGAGCUAAUACCGGAUAAUAUAUUGAACCGCAUGGUUCAAUAGUGAAAGACGGUUUUGCUGUCACUUAUAGAUGGAUCCGCGCUGCAUUAGCUAGUUGGUAAGGUAACGGCUUACCAAGGCAACGAUGCGUAGCCGACCUGAGAGGGUGAUCGGCCACACUGGAACUGAGACACGGUCCAGACUCCUACGGGAGGCAGCAGUAGGGAAUCUUCCGCAAUGGGCGAAAGCCUGACGGAGCAACGCCGCGUGAGUGAUGAAGGUCUUCGGAUCGUAAAACUCUGUUAUUAGGGAAGAACAAAUGUGUAAGUAACUAUGCACGUCUUGACGGUACCUAAUCAGAAAGCCACGGCUAACUACGUG